rnacentral:lncRNA from 1 species
GUCCCCAGGGUCCAGCAUGCCUGGCUCCUCCUCCUCGGCCUCUGCUGUCCCCUUCUCCUGCCCCCGCCCCAGCGUCUAGCACCAGGAUUUGUCUUCCUUCUCGGCAGGCAGUGUCCACUGGACAGCUGCUGCCUGUUUGCUGGUGGAGCAAACGCACGUCCAGUAGGUGCCCAGCAAACGCUUACUGAGUGACUGAGACGGGGAAGGGGCUCCCGCGGAGAGGGGCGGCCGCCCGGGCCCAGGCUGGACGCCCACCUGUGUCCCUGCUCCCACCCGGGCCGAGCGGCGCGCUCAGGGGCGGCGGCCCUGUCCCCGAGGACCGCCCUGGCGCAGUCGGCCUCCCGCGGCACCGCGCGCUGCGGGCCGGGGCGCGACGCUGUUCCCCGCGGCGGCGAAGCGACCUCUGUCCGUUCCCCCAACAAGCGUUAGUCCUGCGUCUGCGCCGUGCCGGGCGCCGGGGGAUCCGGCGGGGACAGUGCGCAGUGCCUGGCUGACAAGGAUCGAGCAAAAAACAGCCACCUUAAAAUGCCAUUUAGCCAAAUCCGAUUUAUUUUGCAAGAAAAUAAAAAGGUUUAACCCCCUGGAAUGGACGGGAAGGGGCAGGGGAGACAAGUUACCUUAAAGAAGAGUUCCAGGGAGGCCUUGGCAAAGCUCGUCCUCGUUAGUAUAGUGCCACAACUCUUGGGUUUACCGCUUGCAACUGAGCUUUUAAAACCAGGUGUGAACUCUUCAGGGUGAAGCCCCUGGUGUCUUAAAUGUUCCUUGUUAGAGCUGAAGAAGAGGAGCAGUUAGCAGGGAAAUGUCAAGGCAGACCCUAAUUUGAUGAUUGACAGCACAGCAAACGUGAGCAGGACAGUCAUUUGGAGGUUUCUGCGCCUGGCAUUGAGG